UAACAGGAUUAGAUACCCUGGUAGUCCAUGCCGUAAACGUUGGGCACUAGGUGUGGGGGGCAUUCCACGUUCUCCGCGCCGUAGCUAACGCAUUAAGUGCCCCGCCUGGGGAGUACGGUCGCAAGGCUAAAACUCAAAGGAAUUGACGGGGGCCCGCACAAGCGGCGGAGCAUGCGGAUUAAUUCGAUGCAACGCGAAGAACCUUACCAAGGCUUGACAUACACCGGACCGUCCUGGAAACAGGUCUUCUCCUUUGAAGCUGGUGUACAGGUGGUGCAUGGUUGUCGUCAGCUCAUGUCGUGAGAUGUUGGGUUAAGUCCCGCAACGAGCGCAACCCUCGUUCUAUGUUGCCAGCAUGUGAUGGUGGGAACUCAUAGGAGACUGCCGGGGUCAACUCGGAGGAAGGUGGGGAUGACG
rnacentral:rRNA from 1 species